AAAGAAAGACAUAAUGGUUAUGGGACUGGCUUGAAACUAGUUAUAGGAGGUUCGAUUCCUUCCUUUCUUG
rnacentral:tRNA from 1 species